CACGUGUGCAACCAACCCCGUACCGGGAGAUAACCCGCGGAAACGUGGACUAACAUCCCAUGACACUCGAGGGCCGCAUGGCUCUAGAUUUAAAAUUCCGGUGGUACGGGACGGGCACGCGCGACAUUAGGUAGUUGGCGGGGUAACGGCCCACCAAGCCGACGAUGUCUAGGGGUUCUGAGAGGAAGGUCCCCCACACUGGAACUGAGACACGGUCCAGACUCCUACGGGAGGCAGCAGUGAGGAAUAUUGGUCAAUGGGCGAGAGCCUGAACCAGCCAAGUCGCGUGAGGGAAGAAUGGUCUAUGGCCUGUAAACCUCUUUUGUCAGGGAAGAAUAAGGAUGACGAGUCAUUCGAUGCCAGUACUUGACGAAUAAGCAUCGGCUAACUCCGUGCCAGCAGCCGCGGUAAUACGGGGGAUGCGAGCGUUAUCCGGAUUUAUUGGGUUUAAAGGGCGCGUAGGCGGGACGUCAAGUCAGCGGUAAAAGACUGCAGCUAAACUGUAGCACGCCGUUGAAACUGGCGCCCUGGAGACGAGACGAGGGAGGCGGAACAAGUGAAGUAGCGGUGAAAUGCAUAGAUAUCACUUGGAACCCCGAUAGCGAAGGCAGCUUCCCAGGCUCGUUCUGACGCUGAUGCGCGAGAGCGUGGGUAGCGAACAGGAUUAGAUACCCUGGUAGUCCACGCCGUAAACGAUGCUCACUGGAUCUUGGCGAUACACGGCCAGGGUUCAAGCGAAAGUAUUAAGUGAGCCACCUGGGGAGUACGUCGGCAACGAUGAAACUCAAAGGAAUUGACGGGGGCCCGCACAAGCGGAGGAACAUGUGGUUUAAUUCGAUGAUACGCGAGGAACCUUACCCGGGUUUAAAUGUAGAUUGCAUGAGGUGGAAACACUUCUUCCCUUCGGGGCUAUUUACAAGGUGCUGCAUGGUUGUCGUCAGCUCGUGCCGUGAGGUGUCGGGUUAAGUCCCAUAACGAGCGCAACCCCUAUCGCCAGUUGCCAUCGGUUCAAGCCGGGCACUCUGUCGAGACUGCCACCGUAAGGUGCGAGGAAGGCGGGGAUGACGUCAAAUCAGCACGGCCCUUACACCCGGGGCGACACACGUGUUACAAUGGCCGGUACAGAGGGCAGCCACGGGGUGACCCGGAGCGAAUCUCUAAAGCCGGUCGUAGUUCGGACUGGAGUCUGCAACCCGACUCCACGAAGUUGGAUUCGCUAGUAAUCGCGCAUCAGC
rnacentral:rRNA from 1 species